AACAUGUGUAUUGUGGGUCAAGGCAGAGCUGGUGUCUACUGAUCAUGAUACAAUGAGUGACAGGGAGGGGGCAGCUGAUUACAGCCUGACAUCAUGCUGU